GCCUACUGUUUAAUUUUGAGGGUUCGUUUUUACGAAUACUCAAAAUUAGCACUUUAAGCAACAGAAUAAACUGAACGCAUGUGAAGUUUAUUUGUUGGCGCUGUGCGUUAGCACUUUAAGCAACGGGAUUUAUCCGUUGGCGCUGUGCGUUAGCACUUUAAGCAACGGGAUUUAUCCGUUGGCGCUGUGCGUUAGCACUUUGAAAACUGCAUAUAUAUUUAGUGAUAUGACAUCUAAUUUGUAAUAUAUAAAGCUGAUAACUUUUUAAAAUUAUCGAAGUUGAUAGCUUCUAAUCUAUCAAACCUUUUUAACUGGUCAA
rnacentral:misc_RNA from 1 species